GGUGGCAAGCGUUAUCCGGAAUUAUUGGGCGUAAAGCGCGCGUAGGCGGUUUUUUAAGUCUGAUGUGAAAGCCCACGGCUCAACCGUGGAGGGUCAUUGGAAACUGGAAAACUUGAGUGCAGAAGAGGAAAGUGGAAUUCCAUGUGUAGCGGUGAAAUGCGCAGAGAUAUGGAGGAACACCAGUGGCGAAGGCGACUUUCUGGUCUGUAACUGACGCUGAUGUGCGAAAGCGUG
rnacentral:rRNA from 1 species